rnacentral:rRNA from 1 species
AGAGUUUGAUCCUGGCUCAGAACGAACGCUGGCGGCAGGCCUAACACAUGCAAGUCGAGCGAGGGGUAACCCUAGCGGCGGACGGGUGAGUAACGCGUGGGAACGUGCCCUUUGCUACGGAAUAGCCCUGGGAAACUGGGAGUAAUACCGUAUGAGCCCUUUGGGGGAAAGAUUUAUCGGCAAAGGAUCGGCCCGCGUUGGAUUAGGUAGUUGGUGGGGUAAUGGCCUACCAAGCCGACGAUCCAUAGCUGGUUUGAGAGGAUGAUCAGCCACACUGGGACUGAGACACGGCCCAGACUCCUACGGGAGGCAGCAGUGGGGAAUCUUAGACAAUGGGCGCAAGCCUGAUCUAGCCAUGCCGCGUGAGCGAUGAAGGCCUUAGGGUUGUAAAGCUCUUUCAGGGGGGAAGAUAAUGACUGUACCCCCAGAAGAAGCCCCGGCUAACUCCGUGCCAGCAGCCGCGGUAAUACGGAGGGGGCUA